rnacentral:sRNA from 1 species
ACCUCCCUGAAGAAUGUAACUGGCUUCUGACCAAGAGACUGGGGAUUCCCAAUGUUGCAGUAUAGGAUCUGCAAGGGGAAAACAGAAUGAGAAAAUAAUCUACCAGGAAAAGCUCCUUUAUAUACCUGAGCAUGGAUCACAAUCUCUCCACGCACUGCAUACUCACAAUUCAAAACCU